rnacentral:rRNA from 1 species
ACGGGAGGCAGCAGUGGGGAAUAUUGGGCAAUGGGGGAAACCCUGAUCCAGCGACGCCGCGUGAGUGAAGAAGUAUUUCGGUAUGUAAAGCUCUAUCAGCAGGGAAGAUAAUGACGGUACCUGGCUAAGAAGCCCCGGCUAACUACGUGCCAGCAGCCGCGGUAAUACGUAGGGGGCAAGCGUUAUCCGGAUUUACUGGGUGUAAAGGGAGCGUAGACGGUAUGGCAAGUCUGAUGUGAAAACCCGGGGCUCAACCCCGGGACUGCAUUGGAAACUGUCAAACUAGAGUGCAGGAGGGGUAAGUGGAAUUCCUAGUGUAGCGGUGAAAUGCGUAGAUAUUAGGAGGAACACCGGUGGCGAAGGCGGCUUACUGGACUGUAACUGACGUUGAGGCUCGAAAGCGUGGGAGCAAACAGGAUUAGAUACCCUGGUA